AGCGAACGCUGGCGGCAGGCUUAACACAUGCAAGUCGAACGGGCACUUCGGUGCUAGUGGCAGACGGGUGAGUAACACGUGGGAACGUACCUUUCGGUUCGGAAUAAUACAGGGAAACUUGUACUAAUACCGGAUACGCCCUUCGGGGGAAAGAUUUAUCGCCGAUAGAUCGGCCCGCGUCUGAUUAGCUAGUUGGUGAGGUAAUGGCUCACUAAGGCGACGAUCAGUAGCUGGUCCGAGAGGAUGAUCAGCCACACUGGGACUGAGACACGGCCCAGACUCCUACGGGAGGCAGCAGUGGGGAAUAUUGGACAAUGGGCGAAAGCCUGAUCCAGCCAUGCCGCGUGUGUGAUGAAGGCCUUAGGGUUGUAAAGCACUUUUGUCCGGGAAGAUAAUGACUGUACCGGAAGAAUAAGCCCCGGCUAACUUCGUGCCAGCAGCCGCCGCCG
rnacentral:rRNA from 1 species